rnacentral:rRNA from 1 species
ACGCUGGCGGCACGCCUUAUACAUGCAAGUCGAACGAAGUAGCAAUACUUAGUGGCAGACGGGUGAGUAACAUGUGGGUAUCUUCCCUUUGGCCCGGAAUAACACGAGGAAACUUGUGCUAAUACUGGAUAAGUCUUUACGGAGAAAGCUUUAUGCACCAUUGGAUGAGCCCGCACUUGAUUAGUUUGUUGGUGGGGUAAUGGCCUACCAAGACAAUGAUCAAUAGCUGAUUUGAGAGGAUGAUCAGCCACAUUGGAACUGAGACACGGUCCAAACUUCUACGGAAGGCAGCAGUAGGGAAUCUUGCACAAUGGAGGAAACUCUGAUGCAGCGAUGCCGCGUGAGUGAAGAAGGCCUUUGGGUUGUAAAGCUCUUUCGUCGGGGAAGAAAAUGACUGUACCCGAAUAAGAAGGUCCGGCUAACUUCGUGCCAGCAGCCGCGGUAAUACGAAGGGACCUAGCGUAGUUCGGAAUUACUGGGCUUAAAGAGUUCGUAGGUGGUUAAAAAAGUUGGUGGUGAAAUCCCAGAGCUUAACUCUGGAACUGCCAUCAAAACUUUUUAGCUAGAGUAUGAUAGAGGAAAGCAGAAUUUCUAGUGUAGAGGUGAAAUUCGUAGAUAUUAGAAAGAAUACCAAUUGCGAAGGCAGCUUUCUGGAUCAUUACUGACACUGAGGAACGAAAGCAUGGGUAGCGAAGAGGAUUAGAUACCCUCGUAGUCCAUGCCGUAAACGAUGUGUGUUAGACGUUGGAAAUUUAUUUUCAGUGUCGCAGCGAAAGCGAUAAACACACCGCCUGGGGAGUACGACCGCAGGUUAAACUCUAAUGAGGAUUACG